rnacentral:rRNA from 1 species
UACGUAGGGCGCAAGCGUUGUCCGGAAUUAUUGGGCGUAAAGAGCUCGUAGGCGGCUUGUCACGUCGGAUGUGAAAGCCCCGGGGCUUAACCCCGGGUCUGCAUUCGAUACGGGCUAGCUAGAGUGUGGUAGGGGAGAUCGGAAUUCCUGGUGUAGCGGUGAAAUGCGUAGAUAUCGAAGGAAGAACACGGGUGGAAGAAGCUCGAUGCCUCGG